GGGGCCGAUUAGGAUUCGACGGAAUUCAAGAAGCCUGAGGUGCAUGUCGAGGACGCGGUUGGCCUCGUAAAAAAGCCGCAAUUAAAGUAAUCGCAAACGACGAUAACUACGCUCUAGCGGCAUAAUAGCCCGCUAGCACUCACCCAAGCUCUCUUGUGGGCCUGGAUUCUGAGUGUCACCCUACACAAGAUCGCCACGGAAACCCUGGCCGGGGUUGAAGGGUUAAACAUAAGCGGCCUCGCCUUCACUAAUCGUGUCUGUCCGAGUAUUGAAGGUUAACUUAUAGACAAGACUAAGCAUGUAGGACCGAGGGUCGAGGCUUUUCGGACGGGGGUUCAAAUCCCCCCGGCUCCACCA
rfam:Pseudoalteromonas luteoviolacea B = ATCC 29581, WGS project CAPN01000000 data, contig: 5